AAAAAGUCAGGAAGAAAAAUGUCUUGAUUUAUGUGGAAGGAAGAAAUAACUUUAGGACGAAACGCUGGAAUUGUCCUUAAAAUGAUUCUAUCGUCUUAAAAAAUCAGGAAAGGAGGUUCACAUGAGAGAGCUUGAAGUUCGGAAAUCCUUCGCCCUGAAGUAAGAACCACCAAAAGAACAGUUUUUAAAAUCAAUGUAGCCAUAGAAAUAUCUUCCAGAUGCUCAAAGGAAGGAAUGAAUAAAGCCUGAAGAACCAGAGGCAGAUCCCAGGGUGGAGAAGAGGAUUUAAUUGGAGGACGGAUUUUCAGAAUUGCUUGGAAAAAUCUGCUAACAUCAGGAUCAAAGGCCAGCUUCUUGUCUAAAAGAAGUAGAGAGCGCGGAAAUCUGCACUCUUAAAGAACUCACACUUAAACCUUUAUCAAAUCCAUCCUGUAGGAACUGCAGAAUGUUGCUCAUAUUCUGGGUUUUAAAAGGAACUUAUAGACCCCGCCCCCGGCGUGCGUUCCACUUGUGUUCCACCGCCGGAAAGAAAAGAGAGAUAAGGAAGUAAACAACCUGAAGAGAUGCUUUACAGCGGCAAAACGGCUAACCUUCCAUAUGCCUCUUGAUUCAGACGGGGGAUCCUAAUCAGAGGCUCCACAAGGCAACUAAGGAAACCAGGAGAGGUAAGGCAGACCAGGGAGGAGAUUAAAAGAAGGAGGCUAUGAGAAUAGCCUCAAGGCAUUACUGUAAUAGGUGGACCCUUACCUGGGAAUUAUCACCUUACUGUCACUGACACGUCCAGCUGCUACCUGUAGGAUCACUGCAGCAUAACUCCCCAUUUGCUAAGGGGAGAGUCCUUCAGGGGGUCGCCCCUAGUGAGGUGCUGUGUCCUGAGGCUUCCAUGAGAGAGGCUGAACUCCUCAUGGGCAGGGGUAAUAUAAACCCCAAGUAAGCCACAAAAUAAAAAAGGAAGUGAUAUAAAUCCUAUGUCCAUGUGAGUGGACAGGAAAAAAAGACUGGGGACUUAAGGGAGGGACCUCUCUUUUAUUCAUUUAAUUAGGAGGUGUUCCUGUCCAAUCUAAGAGUGGGAGGAGCUAUGCCCAUCUGUAGUGCUGCCAUGGAUAUGUCCGCGAAAAGGCUAUUCAGGGUUUAAAUAUGCCUCUCUGUGCUUUAAUUGGUUAAAAGACUUUUGACUCCAAACCGUGCGUGUGCGUUAAUGUUAAAUAUUAAAUCAUAUCUUCUAAUUUUCAAUUACUAUUUUGUAUUGAAAAAUAUUGUUAUAGAAUCCCAAGCGAAGCUUUUUGGGAACCUGAACUGAUGUUAAGCCCUCCCCGAUGUUAGGACAUUCCACGCUGCCCCCCACAGAGUGGGUUUUAAAAACGCUGUUGAAAUGACAUGGAACAUCCUGCAGUUUUGGUUUGGGUUAAAGGGAUACUAUAUUGCCAGGGAUACAAAGCUGUAUUAGGGCACUAUCGAUCCUUGGUAAAUAAAGGGUUAAAAAAAAACUUAAUUUACUUACCUGAUCCCAGCGCCGAUGUCCCUCGGUGCUGGGUCAAAGCUCCUUCUCGCGACAAGCACAUUAGACCUCCCCAUAGGAGGUAUCAAUGCUUUCCUAGGGGGACAAAUCUGACGCUGAAUGUCCUCAUGCAGGUCGUGAGGACGUUUCCCGGAUCAAAGGUCCAUUUCAAACCAGGAAGCCCUCUACUGGCCAAUAGAGGCUGACUUAAAGGACCACUAUAUGCACCCAGACCACUGCAGCUUAAUUAAGUGGUUUGGGUGCCAGGUCCAUCUAGGGUUAACCCUGCAGCUGUAAACUUACAAUAGGGUUAAUCCAGCCUCUAGUGGCUGUCUCAUUGACAGCUGCUAGAGGCGCUGCCGUGCUUCACACUGUGAAAAUCCCAGUGAGAAGACGCUGCCGUCCAUAGGAAAGCUUUGAGUAAUGCUUUUCUAUGGACUGAUUGAAUGCGCGCGCGGCUCUUACCGCGAAUGCGCAUUCAGCUCUGACGUCGGACGAGUGACAAACUUCCACACAUAAACAUGCUUUGAGAUACGUGUGUGUGUGUCAUGCGGUAACACUUCCUGGUUCGGCACUCCGCUGUGCGGAGCCGGACCCCGCCCCCAUCUGACGCAGCUCUGGCGGUAUUUAGGGAGACCGCGCCAGAGAGAGGGGGCUUGGUGAUACUGGGAGCUACUUCCGUCAGACUUCUCCACAGGCUCUGGCAAUGUGGGUCCUACUUCCGAGCAUGCACUCCGGCUCCUGGGACACGCCGGCUCUACAAGCUCUGAUGUCGUCCUAGCCUUCUGGGCUAAGAAUAGUAUACUUCAUACCAUAGAGGAUUACUGGAGAACAGAAACUCACUUACUUUACAAGUGGACCAUACCUCUGAACUAUUGGAGGACUACUCACAUUAACCUUAAGUAUAUCUUUCAGCUAUUUGUCUACAAUAUCAUUUAAUAAUGAACUAAUGCUUGCUUACUAAAUCUUCACUGCUUCAAGCUACUAAUUAUAUGGAGGACAACUCCCAUCAUGCUUAUUCACAAUGAACUGUUUCUUGCUUUGCAAAUACACUGUGCUUCAAGCUACUAAUUAUAUGAAGGACAUCUCCCAUCAUGCUUAUUAACUAUAAACUGUUCCUGCUUUGCAAAUAUUCUCAGCUACUUGCUUAAAGUUACUAUUGAAGAUUAUUCUCAUUAACCUAAAGAAUGUUACUUAAUGCAUCUUUGAGGAAAUACUUAUUAAUGAACUUUGUGUUGUUGAUUACUUGCACUUCCUUUUAUUGGAUUAUUGCCUAAAUGCAAUUCAUUUAAGUUUAACACUUAUUAAAACUUCUUUUGAAUCAAGUUACCAGCAAUUCUCUCUUUUCUUAAAGCUACAGUAUUGAUACUUUAAAGUUUCUCCGUUUCUUCACUAUUGUAAUUAGGGAGUUUUACAAGCUGCAGUUGAGUUCCAAUCCAAGUCACCCAAGUAGCGUAACAGUGUCUGUGUAUAUAUAUAUAUAUAUAUGUAUUAAGGCAAUUUUGCCUGGAUUUGUGGGAGGUGCUGGUUUGCUACCCCUAGCCUACUUAAGGCACUCCCCUUACCUUGCUCCUUACCGUUCGAGGUCAGCGUUGAAUGAGGAUCUACUUCCGGGUUCUCUCAGACGCCAUCUUGGUUUUUCAGUAUCCACUAGAUUUUACCGCGGCAAGCUGUGUCCAGGAAUCCUGUUCAGGCCUUUUCCGUCCGUCCAACUUCUUCUUACCCUGGUCAUCGUCGUAGAUCGCGUCCCAGGGACUCCUAAACCGUAAGUCAGACCUAUCUGUCACGCCAGGACCGGUUCCCACGGCGCAUGGUACAGCACGGGUCCUCGCUUUACAGUAUUUCUGCACAGUCGCAUUACAUAGCCUUUCGCGCGGCUUCAUUUCGUACAAAUUGUUCGGUUAGAUUCAUGCAUAUUAGAGAAGUGAUCAGCUCGCACAACUGUUUUCCCUUGCUUCAUUUAAACGAUUAUCAUUUCGGUUGUGUUUUCCGUUCGGCACUUAUUCAUGUUAUAUUCAUGCAAGAUUGCUGUUCGCAUUAAAGUGCAUACGUUUAAGCUAUUCAUGCCUGUUUCAUGAGUUACAUUUCAUCAUUUCAUGUAUAUACAUUUGGUUAAAUAGUUGCUAGUUUAAAUAGACAGACCAUUUUCAUUGCUAUUUUAAGGUAUCACUUAUUACAUCAAGGGCAUGAAACCAGCUAACAUUUCUGUGUGGAUCAUUGGACUCCCACGCUUACAGGAGUUUUUCGUAAAUUAUCCAUCAGGCCUCAUUUCUUUGUUAUGACCAUGACACAUAAGGCAUUAAUUCCUUUUCAUGCAUACUCGGGUUGAAUCACACGUACUGAUCCAACCAAUCAUACGUUUCCUGCACAGUAAUACAUAUAUAUAUAUAACCUACAUUUUAUGUUUUCCUUACACACCAUUAUUAUAUAUACACAUAUGUUGUUAGUACAUAGGCCACGACCCCCUCAGAUGUCUUAUUUAAGCCAUGACAACAUUUCUGAGUAACUCAUAUCUAUUCCCAUGGUAUCAACAUUUUAUUUUCAAUCAUACGCCAGCAAACCAUAAAAACAUUGCUGCUACAGGCUAUAAGCCUGUUUUUUUCCAACAAUCCACACUCAUCAUACUACUCUCUUUUACCCAUUUCAGGCUCUCAAGCUUAUAUAUAUAUAUUUGCUCCACACGGUUUUCCUGUGAAUUUGUUAUACUACCAGGUAUGUACACCUGCUCAUAUGGUAUUCUACCAUACAUUUCAUUCCGUCCCCUUAGGUUAGAGUACUGGCAAUAGGGUCACAGGCUUCCCAAUAGGUAUUUACCCCGUCUUGGCAGUCGCCAUCAGUUAGUGGUCCCGCGAGGCCAACACCCCGCCUCAAACGUUUCAGAGGCAAACACCCAUCGGGCCACACGUUAGCUAGCCGCCUCGCAUGUUACAUAGAGAGGGCCUCACCUGUCACUCCCUUCUCCUGUUUUCUGUCUUACAGUCACCGAGAGGCCUAAAACUCCUGCCACUACGACGAGUGGCCUCAAUAACUCCUCGCGCCAACGCAUAGAUAGAGCCUCUCAAGCCAGCAAUUAGCAGGGCCUCAUCUUUACCAAACAAGUAUAAUGUUUCGCCAUCCGGCCUAGCUAGCCUGCCAGUACAAUUUGGUGGUUUCAUAUACUAAUUGUUUUAUUUAUAGUAUGCUCAGGAAGGGGUAGAGGAUUUCUCCCUGCCUAGCACCCCGGCUAGAGCUGUCACUCCCACACAAGGAGGAGAGCUAGCUAGUCCAAUAUCGAUCAGAUCCUGGACGAUCCCGCGUAUAACCACAGAAUUGAGGAGACGACAAAUCCCCUACCCCGCUAUGGCAAGGAAAGCAGAACUUUUAAAACUGCUACGCACAUCUACAAAUAACAUGGAUGCCGGGUUAGGACCUAGCCAGUCCAACCCAGGAGACAUACAUGCCAUGUUAUCCUCACUCAUGGCGUCCAUGAGCAAGGUCAACUCCAGGCUGGAGAAACUUGAGUCGGUCACCACGGCCCUUACUCUAGCAGGGCCACCCGCUGCUGCUUCACAAGCACCAGCCGACUUGCCAUUAGUUGCUCCAGCCAUCACCCUGGAUGACCAGGAAGUUAGCCCGGCUCAUAUGAUACCUGAGCACAUAAAAAGGGAUAUCCUGGAAAGUUAAGACGUCAACCUGGCUUCCCUGUUGAUUGCCUCCCAGGAUAUUGUUGAGAAUAAGACGUAUGCUUAUGAUGAUGUAUCUGUUGUUGUCAGAUCUAGGGAUGCCCGCCUGAACAGGAAACUGACUAUCCCUGAAUUUGUACUAGCUUUUGGUAUUUACAGGGAUGUCAUCUGUGCGGUUUAUCCCAACAGAAGAGAGGAGUUUGAUCUCUAUAUGCACAAGCUGGUAGACCUGGGCAACAAAUAUAGUGGUUCAGCCUUCUAUGACUACCAUAGGUCUUUUUCUGCAAAAGUGUCUGGAGCCUUCUCCCAGUACGGAACACGAUCCAACUGGGGAAGGAUUGAUACCGUCAUUUUUUGCAGACACUUUGCAGGUCUAAGAACACCAGCUUGUGCAUACUGCUCCUCCACAGCCCAUACUACAAAUUUUUGUCCCAACACGGCGGACGAACAUGCCUCCACGCAAGGAGCUAGUUCCUCUGGGGUUCCAGAGAAGUUGUCAAGAGACAAACUGGGACGCCCAAUCAAGUUUCUGGGCAAGUCCCAGAUAUGUAAUAAUUUCAAUGUUGGGUCUUGUAAUUACAGUGGAUGUAGACUAUUGCAUGUCUGUUCAAAAUGUUUUAGGGCACAUGCAAAGACCAUGUGUCGAAAUAAAAUUUAUUCCAAGCCUUACCUAACGUCCAUUAAUAUGCCAGUAUUCACGGCAUUUAUGUCUCAGCACCCAUCUAGACACCUAGUAGACUUACUCAUCUCUGGUUUAACAGAAGGCUUCCAUACAGGUAUCCUACACAUACCAGCCGGAACUCUGGAAUACUCUAAUCUACAAUCCGCCCAACACAACCCCACAGCGGUUGACACCCUCAUAGCCCAAGAAGUAGAUGAGGGUUUCGUAUUGAGGCCUUUCAAAACUCCUCCAUUCAUAGAAUGGUGCACCAACCCCAUUGGUAUUGUCACAGGGAAAUCUUCCCAAAAACAGAGACUCAUCAUUGACUUAUCGGCACCCCACUCAUUGGCCAACCCCAGUCUUAAUUCCCUCAUACCCUCUGAGGAAUUCUCUUUGCAAUACACCACCAUAGAUCACGCCAUUACCGCUAUCAUACAAGCAGGGGUUGGAGCCUGGCUCAGUAAGACCGACAUUACUAUCGCCUUUAAAUUACUACCAAUCCACCCCACACUGUGGCACCUGCAUGGCAUCAAGUGGUCCGGGAACUACUAUUUUUUUCUCCCGGUUAACUUUUGUGUCCAAAAGUAGCCCAGCUAUUUUCGACACAUUUGCCGAAGCAUUAUGCUGGUUACUAUUGAACAUAGCCAGAUGCCCUACGGUAUUACAUUACCUGGACGAUUUCCUACUGAUCGAGGAGAAUACUUCACCUCCUACUAGUCUCAAAGCUACCACUAAUCUAUUUGAGCAACUAGGUGUACCUAUCUCCCCAAAGAAAACAGAGGGGCCAGACACGGUUAUCACUUUUCUGGGUAUCCAACUAGACUCCGCCACAAUGCAAGCGAGCCUACCACACGAUAAGAUAGAGAAUAUUCUCACUUACAUAAACAGCUACCUUCAGCUCAGUACUUGCACAGUCCCUGCUGGGGUCACUAAAUUUUGCUAUGCGCAUCAUACAUCAAGGCCGCUCCUGUAUAUCACGACUAUUGCAUCUUUUCCCACAUUUCCUACAUGACACGCAUAGUUUGUCCUUAGAUACCCAAGCUACGGCAGAUCUAAACAUGUGGAAGAGAUUUUUAACCACUUGGAAUGAUAAAAGUAUGUUCCUCCCUCAAUUGACUGACUCAUCUCCUACCAUUUGGUCAGAUGCAGCAUCUACCACUGGUUUUGCAGCAAUUUUUGGGAACGAAUGGCUUUGGGGCAGCUGGCCUUCAGCAGUUCAGGAUUUGGAAGGUUUUUCUACUACCUCAGAUCUCUUUGAGAUCUAUCCCAUCGUGGCGGCUGCCGUAGCAUGGGGUCAUUUAUGGGCUAAUAUGCCAGUGCGUUGUUACUCAGACAACCAGGCAACCUGUCACAUCAUCAACAAAGGUCGUUCCAAAUCCCUUACGAUCAUGAGAUUUCUGAGGAAAUUCACUUGGUUGGCAGCUUGUGAUAAUUUUUCCUAUGUUGUUUCCAUGUUCCAGGUGUAUGUAACACAGCUGCUGACAAUUUGUCUCGCUUUAAAUUUCAGGCGUUUCAUCAAGCACUCCCGUCAGCUGCGCCCACAGCCACCAUCACUCCAACAUUUCAACAACUCAUACUGGACUAGAAACCAUCAUGCAGCAUAGCAGGACACUGUCCCAAUUGGCACUUUCAUACAAUACACACAAAACAUACAACAGGGCUUUCACGCUAUUCAAAAGAUUCCUUCUGGAACAUAACAUCAUGCAACCAUUUGUUAUGACAUCUUUUUUGGGGUUUGCUUCCUUUUGCCACCUUAAACUUAAAAUGUCAUAUAACACCAUCAAACUCUAUCUCACUGGCAUUCAACACCACAUGCUAAUCUUACACCCAAAUAACAACAGUUUCAUGGCCUCUCACCAAAUUAAGACCAUACUCAGAGGUAUUCAGAAAUCAGAACCCACACAUACAGCCCAGAGGCUACCCAUAGAUAACCAUAUCUUUAAAGCAUUGUCUAACCUGCUUGACUUACAACCGUUUGACACCAAUACAAAUUCUAUCAUCAAAACAGCAAUAUACAUAGCUUUCUAUGGAUUUCUAAGACCUAGAGAAUUCACUACAACCUCCACGACCCAAAGUACUCCUUUCCUCCUCUAUUCCCACUUGACAAAAACAUAUGGAUCAUUACAUCCUGACUUUACCUCACUCCAAAACCAGUCAGCACAUACCCGUAAACAUUCCGUACUAUCCCACGCACAACAGAUGGUGUCCCGUCAGGGUUCUUGAUGCCUACAUACAGCAUCAUAUUUUACUGCCCUCACAACCACUACAACAGCUACAAGGUGCAGUACUCACCACUACAACCUUCAUGACCUACGUCAGGUCCUUGCUCACACAACUGGGCCUCAACGCAGCCAAAUACUCAGGGCACUCCUUUCAUAUAGGAGCCGCGUCCACAGCCUCCAAUGUCAACAUCCCAACUCAUGUUAUCAAAACACUGGGGCGCUGGAAGUCAUCCGCUUACUCACGGUACAUACCGAACCCAGUACAAGAUUUAAGGGAUGCUUUCAAAAACAUGUCUGGUUGAUAAAAUGUAUAUGUAUUGGUUGUCUGUAAUAAAUUUGAUUACUUAAUUUUUGCCCUCUUCUUUUUCAGGCAUACCUCAUCGUCGGUUCCAGCACACCACAACCGACUUGCUCUUUUUAUUAUCCUACAUUUAUUUAUGGUAUUUCACACUGUACUAUCAUAAGCACCUAACACAAGUAUUAAGGCAAUUUUGCCUGGAUUUGUGAGAGGUGCUGGUUUGCUACACCUAGCCUACUUAAGGCACUCCCCUUACCUUGCUCCUUACCGUUCGAGGUCAGCGUUGAAUGACCCUCCCACCACACCACACUUUAACAUUUAUUUUCUAUUUUUCUUUCCCUGGGUAGGCCCUCUUCUUUCUCAGGCCUACCUCAUCGUCGGUUCCGGCACACCACCAAAUAUAUAUACACACACAUGUAUCACACAUGUAUCACAAAGCAUGUUUGUGUGUGGAAGUUUGUCAAAGCAUGCUUGCAUAUACCCAGGGAUAUUUGAUAAAUGUAUGUGUCACAAUAAAAUGUAUGCAUAUGAAGGGAUUUCUACUUACAAUUGUUUGAAAAUAGGAGUGUUUGAAAGAAACUUCAAGCCUCAGCUUCCAUGGAAGGUCUCUUUUAUACACAGAAUUCUGUGGGCAAGAACAAUACAUGUCAAUAGGAACAGCAAUAUAAAAAAAGGAUGACAAGACUUCAGAUGAAAUAGCGGAGGGUAAAAAGAAAAAUAGCUGGAGGUAAAAUUGUUCUACUUUUACUCUUACUCAAAUGUAGGGAUAUCUUAAAAAACAAACAGUGUAAGCCAACAAACCAAUAUCACUUCAUCUUAAUCAAGUGGUUUAGGGGAACAGAUCCUGCACCUACAGUCGUGCAAAUGAAAACCGUGGUGUUUCUGAAAAAUGACGUUUACAUUUUGCAAUGCUCAAGCCUACAAAUGACUUUCAGAUAUACAGCCAUUAGAGGCUGUAGACACAAUUAUAUUCAAUAUAUAUAUAUAUAUAUAUAUAUAUAUAUAUAUAUAUAUAUGCACAUACAUACAUAUUCUGGCUACUGUUUCUUUUAAAAAAAAUUUUUGUUGUUUUUUAAGUAAUAAUAAAUAUAACAGUUAUACAUUUUUGUCAAUGUUUUAACAGUCAAUAAUGUAUUAACAGUGUGAUAUAUAAGACUUAACUUUUCUUACAAAUAUUAUUUAAUUUAAAUAUAUUGAAUUAUAUAAUAAAAAAAUUAGUGGUCAUUCAUUAAAAUAAAGUUAUAUAUCUAACUGAUAUAUAUUGGAAAAAUUCUGAAACAUGAAACAUUACAUUAAGUUUGUCAGUACAGUAAUGCGCUGUAGGAAACAUUUGCAAUGACUAUAAAGAGAUUAAAAAGGAAAAAAAGGAAAAGAAAAAAGGUUAAUGUCAUAUCCACAAUAAACCCUAAAAAAAAGAAAAUAUAGUUGGGAAAGAAAAAUAAAUAUAAUCCUGUAGGGAAAAGAUUAAAUGAAACAACAAUUUAUGUAAUUAGUAUAUAUGAAAUAGUCAUGUAUUCUAUAAUUUACACGGUAAAUAAAAAAUAAAGUUAUUCUGGCUAUUAUUUGUCCUAUAUUGCAUCAUACAAUGUCACAUCUUAAGAACAAACAACAACAUAGGGCACAGUCAGGGUUAUUCAGUAAAGUUAGAAUUGCCAGGACUUCAAAGAGAAUUUAAGAAUUUAGGACAAAAUAGCCAAAUUACAAAAAGUAUCUAAGUCAAUGCUGUUUUUACUUUGGCCUUAAAUUUUUAAAUUAAUUUUGAAUUCCCAACAAAUCUCAAAAUGUAGAGUCCUGAAAUCUUAGUUCAGCACUGGAAUGUACAUGCCACUGAUGUUAAUGGAGUAAGCAAUCAUAAUUUAUUCCUCCACUGCCAUCCAAGGCUAAGUACUUAAAUAUGUGUGCAACACAUUAGCUUAAAACAUCAGUGCAGUGGCAAAGUUACUAUUGACUAGUUUCUGCCUGUAUUUGCGUAUGAAGGGUGUAAGUCACCCCUCUUGCCACUGUGCAGUGCACCUCCUCCUAACUGUCCCUAGUCUCAUAAAUGCCUUAAAUUCAGAUACAAAAUGUUUGUGUAUAUUUAAUUUCAUAGCAAAUCGAAUGGCAGGAUAUAGACAAUCUCUGGCACACCAACUGCGUUGGAAAAAUAAAUAAAAAAACGCUAAAUAAAUAAAAUUUAAAGUUGUAUAAAAUAACUAACUGUAUUAUAGAAAAAUAAUAAUGUUUUGGGUACUGGAGGUUUAAACCAUAAGUAUGUAAUUAUAUUGGAUACCUAAUUGUGGUGGAGCUCCUGUACUCCGACCGAGUACCUCCGCCAAGUCUGCUUCCUAGCCGCCUUAGGCACCCUGGAACGCUUCAGCUCAAGUUGCCAAAGUUUGACAGGGGUCUCUUCCACCCAACCAGGCUGCGGCUCUCCUUCCAAGCAGGUAUCCUUUCUUCUGCCUGCACUGUGAAUAGCUCUUGCCUUUACAAAGGCACUUGCACCUCUCAGGCCUAGCUCACUUUUUCACCUGUCCCAUGCUCGAGGGAUCGUGCAACCAGACAACAGGUCCGAAGGCUCUGUGGCUGGGAUCUCUGAACAAAUCUACACAGGACACACAGUUCCAAAAAGAAAUAACAUACAAUACUGGGACUAGGACUAACCUUUGGGGACUAGUCCUUAAACGUGUGGUUACAACCAUGAAAAUAUAAACAACAUAAGUAAUGUGAAGAACAAGCAACAUAAUAUUGUCUCAUAUAUAAAAUAGUUACAACUUUUCAAGCUAUUGGAAAACAGAGAUAUAUCAAUGCAGCAUGUCAGUUUUUACAAUAUCCUAAUUUGCAAUUUGAAAAUGAUUGGAUAUGCCAACAAUGCAUCUUUCGAUUUUUACCAACAGAGGGCAAUGGAGAGUCAUAACAAGUUUAAAAGAGUCCCCAUGUAAAGCAAGGAUAUCCCAACGUAUCAAAUCCAAACCAGGAGGGGGAGGCAUGUACCUUCCUCCCCAAAAUAGAACCCAUUCCAGACCAGGGCCCAUAAUCAGUGGGAAGGAGGCUGACCUGCAGUCCUUUCCAAGUACCAAAGUAACGGAGGAUUUCCGUUGUACUAUGUUUCCUCUUGUACUAUAGGAAACUAAUGUAGUCAAAAGUUCUGCAGUCAUCAUAAUAAACCACAAACCCGAAAGUCAAGAUGGCAUUAUUUUCCCCAUGUCUUGUACCUGUAUAUACACUGAACAAAAUUAUAAACACAACACUUUUGUUUUUGCCCCCAUUUUUCAUGAGCUGAACUCAAAGAUCUUUUUCUAUGUACACAAAAGGCCCACUUCUCUCAAAUAUUGUUCACAAAUCUGUGUUAGUGAGCACUUCUCCUUUGCCAAGAUAAUCCAUCCACCUCACAGGUGUGGCAUUUCAAGAUGCUGAUUAGACAUCAUGAUUUUUGCACAGGUGUGCCUUAGACUGGCCACAAUAAAAGGUCACUCUAAAAUGUGUUUUUUUCUUUUUUUUUUAACUUAUAUUUUAUUUGCGUUUUCAAAGGUACACUGUACAAUCAAAGCAUAUGGUGCAACGUUACAAAGUCAAUUGUGCGAUACAACAAUUUACAUCAAAGAUAGUAAUGUACAGUAAUAUUAUUGACUUCGAAUUUCUUUCUCCAUAGGGCGCUCGGGCCCUGUUGCGUAAAUGCAACCAUUAAGAAGAAACACGUUUAGUAACUUCAAGCAAAAUAACAGUGUAAACCAAAAGUAAACUAAGAAGGGAGUGGGGCUUGGGGGGAGGGGAUGUUUAGGGUAGAUUCAUCAACACAUAUACCUCAAGCUAUAGUGGUGUUCGUAUGAAGGUUGGGUAUUCAGUUUUUGGGCCAGGUUAGAUUGUGGUUCAGGUAGUUGUAUGAGGUUGUCCAUUCUUCCUGUGUGCAUAUUAUAAGCCCCCUGUAUGGACAUUUAUCAGUUACAUUAUUAGCUAUCUCACAUAGUAUCUUAAGCAUCCUUGCCUUCCCUUCUCUAUGGCCUGAGGUGGUGAUGUGCCACAAGAUAUUGGGCAGAUAGACAAGCAACUCACAUGCUCAUUAUUCAUAUUGUCUAUUAUUUAUAUAUCUAUUGUUCAGAUUUGUGAACAAUAUUUGAGAGAAAUAGGCCUUUUGUGUACAUAGAAAAAGUUUUAGAUCUUUGAGUUCAGCUCAUGAAAAUAUGGGGGCAAAAGCAAAAGUGUUGCGUUUAUAAUUUUGUUCAGUGUACUACAUCGUAUUUUUAGGCUAGGAUUAGUGUGUCAAAGUUUAGGUUAGGGCAUAAGGGUUGAAAUUGGAGUCAAUGAUAGGUUAGUGUAGGGGUUAAUAGUUAGUGAAGUGUAACAAAUGGGUUUAUGGGAUAUCUCUUUACUAUUAGAGCAGUGACAUAUUUAUCCCGGUUCUGCCCCAGAUUUUAGCAUAAUAGGACGUUACAGUCAUGUGAGGCAGCUGCCACCAGAUACUGUAACUCCCACAAAUUUCAGGCAGUCCAUGUAUAUGCUGGUUCUGCCCAAGAUUAGUGUUUUUAAACUGUGAUCCGUGUAUUAUGACCCAUUUUAUUACGGUGAAGAAUAGCAUAGAUUAUGAUUUUUAUAUAUAAUAUACGUACACUUUCUUAAUGUGUCUACCACCAAUAAAUGUAAUACUUCACCUGCUGUUCUGUGAGCUAUGCAAGUGUCAGAAUUUAUAGUGGUUUAAUGAAACCUAAAUGCACACUUUUCAAACCAAUAUACACUCUUUUUUUACAUAUGCAUUCACACUGCUUACUCGCUUUAGGGGCUUAUCUGCUUUAUCAAGUUUUUGUGGGUUUGUGAACAGCUUCCUAAUGAACCCUGGAACCUUACUCUGACUAUUCCUAAGGGAGCUGGCUUUUUUGACUCCCUCUCUUUAUUUGCAGUUGUUAUCUACCUCAAAUCAGGUAGCAGCUUGUGAAUAGACUCCCCUAUUAUCAUUAGGGACUGAUUACCACAGCCUCUCAUAGGGAACUUACCCCUUUGAUAUCCAUUGUAUUGAUUCUUUACAAGUCAUUCUUUUUUUAAAGUUACAAAAAAAAGGUUAGGGCCUACUUUAUUCUUAUCAUUGUUCUCCUUUCCUCCAGGUUUCCCUGUUUAAUGUUUUUUUGUUUUUCACAUGUUUUUAUUGUCAACAUUUACUGACUUUCAGCUGUUUGCAAGGCAUAAAUCAAACAAAAGCAAUUGAAAUAGCUCAAGACAACGAAUGCUUCAAGUGGUUUCCCCAAAUUCAGCUGAAACUAUAAUGACUUCUCCAGUCUCGAAAUUAGAGCUCCCUGCUGUUAUGACCUGCUGCAAACGAGAUGCAUAGACAGACACCAGCUUCUGGCAGCAUUCCUAAGGGAAUCUUAGCCCAUUGCUCAUUAGCAAUGGCCUCCAGUUCAGUAAUAUUCUUGGGUUUGCUUGCUGCAACGACCUUCUUCAAAUGCCCAUAGAAAUUUUCUAUGGGGUUCAAGGCAGGUAACUGUGAUGGCCACUUUAGAAUUUUCCAGGACUUCUUCUGCAACCAGCCCUUGAUGGAAUUUUUUAAAUUUCGCCUGUUUGAUUUGUUCAUUGCAAACAGCUGAAAGUAUGUACAGUUUUAACAAUAACCCUGAUUGUCAAUGGGGGUUGAAUAAUUUUGAUUAUAACUGUAUAUCUUAACCAUGUUUUUCAGAGACCCAAGUUUAAAUAUGUUAUAUAUUUGAUAAAUAGACUUUGUGGCCCAUUCUUCAGCAGCAUAAUUAACUCAGUGACCCAUUGUUUAAGUGAUUCCCAGAUUAAAAACAUCAUGCGUGAAUUCAAACACUACACAUAUGCAGAUUGAAGCUGUUUUAUAAAUGAAUGCACUGCAUUCACACUUUUUGAGGAAAUAAAUGCAUGCAUUUUUUCAGAUGUUAACUCUUAUUUUUAAUAAUGUAUCACUGUUGUCAUAUUUUUUCCAGAUCAAAAAUGCCUAAGUGCAUUGUGAAUAAUUGUCCACAUUGGGCAGGAAGCACAUUUAAAAAUCCUAACAUUGUCCUGCAUGGUAUUCCUGGAAAACUGGAAAGGAUCAAACUAUGGCUAGAACAAACAAGACAGAAUUUUUGAGAUUUAGACAUGUUUGCACAAAAGGUCCUUGAAGGGAAAAAGAAUGGUCAAUUCCGGUUGUGUUCUGCUCACUUUACAUCAGAUAGCAACACAACAAAAGGUAGUAAAGUGGUGCUGAAAAGGGAGUUCCAAUAAUUUUCAGUGAAGAAGAUUCAUUGGCAGUAACAGAAGAACUAGAUAUUGGAACUCCAAAGAAGCAAUGUAAAAAUGAUAUAUAUGAUGAAGCAACAACUUCUAUGGUGUACACGGGGACACCAAAUUUAGCAAUAUGUGUCCACGCAGCAAGACAAACUUUUAGCACAUUUGGAAUGAAGAAUGCGUCAACAUCUACAAAUCCAAAAUACGGCAUGAAGACAUGUGGAACACAGACUGAAAACAAGUAUUUUACAAGAAGUUUUGAAGUUCACCAUGAAUUAAUAAAUGAAAGACCAGAGAAAAUUAAAAUUGAGGAACUUAGUGCAAAGUUCGUAUGGACCAUUUUUACCGCAGUCUGCUUACAAAUCUGUAAAAUGGAACAGUGGAAAUUUGGAAGACCGCAUCACACUUAAAAGACCUUUGCAUCAUCAAACUAAAGCUUCAUUUUUAGAAUUAACUUCCAAAUCAAAAUCAGGAGAUGAGAAAAACAUGGAAGAUUCAGACAUAGUUCCUGAAGAUUCAUGUCUACAAGAGGGAUAUAAUGAUGAGGAAAACCACAAAGAUAUGAUUGCAGAGAGGAAGUUCUUGGUUUUUGAAUCUUGUCUUGAUCAACUUGCAAGUUGCAUAAAUGGCUGCUUAUCCCCUAUUAGACAUUUAGAGAACACAAUCACUGGGUCAUACCUGGCGGUUACUGGAACAUGUACAUCUGGCCACAAAAAUGAAAUUUGGAGAAGUCAGCCAAGAACAAAAAAUGUCCCAGUUGGCAAUCUUUUAUUGUGCUCUUCGAUUCUUUGUAGUGGAUUUAGUUUUAGAAAGGUACAUGGUAUGUUCAAACUUCUUGGACUAAAACAAAUGACACAUUCAACCUACAACUCAUACCUGAAAAAAUAUUUAUUCCCUUCUAUUGAUCUUCAGUGGCAAAAGGAAUGUGUAGCUUUAAGGAUUGCAUUAAGUAACACGGCUCUAUGUUUAGCCUGUUAUGGGCAGUACCUCAAUUCUGGUUACUGCAUAUAUACCUUGAUGGAUAUCAUUACUGAAAAAAAUGUAAGAUUUGAAAUACAGCAGGCAAGUAGGCAAAAGUCAUUGGUUGAUUCAGAAAAAUUAUGUUUUACAGAAUGUUAAGACAAGUUAAUUAAAGAAGCAAUAGAAGUUAAAGUUGUCCUCACUGACAGACAUGUCCGCAUCAAGAAAAUUAUGCGUGAGCAAUACCCGCACUUGAUACACCAGAUUGAUACCUGGCACUACAAAAUCUAUACGGAAGAAAUUGGUUAAAGCAAGCUCUUCAAAUAAAACCGCACCACUAAAGGAAUGGAUACAAUCAAUUAUCAGUCGUUUCUGGUGGUGUGCUCAAACAUCUGGAACAGAUGUUGAACUUCUAAGAGAAAAGUGGGCAUCUGUAAUACAACAUGUUACCAACAGGCACACGUGGGACAAUAAUAAGAAAUAUCAUGCCUGCUCCCAUGGAACACUUAGCGGUGCUGAAGAAAGAAGAACAAAGUGGUUGAAAAUUGAUGAUGCCCUAUUUGAAAGUCUACUUCGUGUCAUGAACGAUCCAUUACUUAAUAAAGAUCUUGAACAGCUUCAAAAUUUCUGUCACACUGGAGCACUGGAAGUUUUUCAUAACAAUGUGCUCAAAUAUAGACCAAAAACAAAUAAUUUUUAGAUAAAUGCAGUAAAGACCAGAACAAAACUUGCACUCUCACACAAUAGGAUUGUAAAGAAGAGGCAUGCCACAAAUAAUGAUCCUUGAAUAUCAAGUGCACCAAUUGGCACCAAGAGAUUUAAACUGGAUUUUCCAAAAGUAAAAAAAGGGGGGAUCUUCAACACCAAUGUUCAUGGAAUCUGAGAACAUUUAUAUUUGUGACAUUAUAAAAGGUGCAGUACACAUGUGCCUUAGUAAAAUCCCACACAACUGGGAAUCAAGAUCCUCAAAGUUUUAAAACACAAUUUAAUUAUUUCAUUGUUAGUGCAAUUUUUUUGUUUUAUGAAAAAUAAAAUCAUACAUUGUUUUCCUUUACUUGUUUUAAUGAACGUCCAUGUGCCUGGUAAGUCGCAGUUAUAGAGUAGAUAUAUAAACUCUGAACUGAUGCAUUUGACAUUUAUAAAGCAGAAUGUGUUUGUUUUUUUUUGGAAAGGAAACAAAUGUAAAGAAUUUAGGGUUAAUGUUUGCCUGUUGAAUGAAUGUCCAAAGAACUAAAUUUAAUAAGAGUUGGUAAGUUAGAGGUACUAGAUUUAGUUGCUUAUAAAAGAACAUUUGUGUAUAAAAAAAAAAACACGUACAUUUUGUCAAUUGGCUUAGAACGGUCAGCUGACAGUCACAG